rnacentral:tRNA from 1 species
GGAUGCAGGUCUUUAGUCACUAUAUCAUAUGGGACACUUAUUUGCUCCAAAUUACCAAAUGUAACAUAAAAUUAAUUGACUUGUGGAGGGAGCAAGUUCUGUUUCCAAAACUUAAAAUAUAGCGUCACAGGAGUUUAUCAGAAUUCUUCUCUCGAUAGCCUUGGUGAGAGAAUUCCAUUAAACAAAAAAGCAGUUUCUUUCCCAUUGAUGCAACACCUCAAUAUUGGCAGAGGACCCCGAGGUUUUAUAACACACACAUACUAUUUCUCUAACACUGGGGUUAGACUGCAACUCAUCCUUGACGGUUGGCCAUGCUGGCUGGGGCUGGUGGGAGGUGGCACAACAAUAUGUUGAGGGCCACAGGCUUUCCACCACUGCUGUAGCGAGAAUAGUGCGGGUUCUGGGUCAGUGAAAUACUUGUAUCGCUCUUCAGCUUGAGAAAUUAUUUUUUAUUUCCUAAAAAUAGUCCAACAACAUAUGAGGGCUCCAGAUUGGGGAAGAUGUCUGUAGCAACACAUUUUAACCAAAUAUCUAUAAAAAGUUCCAAGCCCUUCACUAUGCUUAGUGUAUGCUCCCCAUAGUGCAGGUUAGCUGGGUUGCAUCUGUGAUAAAAUGGCUUAUUGACACUUUCCACCUGACAAGCCCCCUCUUUCUGCAGAAUUGCCAGAUAGAGUUGAGCCACCGGAUGCAAGUUCCCAGGUUUCUAGUUUUAAGGGCAUAUAUAUUUAAUUUGGUCACCUCUUGUAUGUUCAGCUGAACUCCAUUGCUAACAUCUACUUAUUUCAUGGUCUCUGAGGCAGAGCAGAGUUCAGUGUGAUCUUGCAGGUUCAGUUCAUUUUGUAUGAAAGGCACUACUCCUGCAGUCUUUCCUCUGCCAAAGAUGCCUCCUUGUGACUGUAUCCUUUGGCAUACUGCUCUUCAUUAUCAGCAUGACAUUCCUAGGUAAGAGCAGGGCUUAGAUCCCAAGAGCCAGUGAUCAUUCAGCAAAACAACAUUCAGCAUGAAACAAAACAAUGAUAUAAUACUCCAAGCUGACUGGGAGAUAGUGAAGACAGCUGUGCAGACUGCAAACUUGUACUUGCCUGUUCCACAACCAUACUUUGUGAAUAUAAAAUAUUAUCCUAUCUAUCAUAUUGUAGGGGGCUCACACAAUUGCUCUUCUUAUCUCUAUUCUGUUGUGACAAGGAAGAGGGUAUGUGUGGCGGGCUUCAGACAGUGCUAGAAACGAGCCAGACAUCACACGGGUUUUGUGACUGGUGUGCGUCCAGUUGUGACCAUGUGGAGAUCCCUAGAUGCCAGGAUGGUGACUGACAUCUCCACUUGGCUGGCCCCUCCAGCUUUCUUAAGCAGCUAAGUGGGAAGCUUAUUUAUUGCAUUUAUAUCCCAUUGGGACCACAGUGAUUCCUGUAGCUUGGUGUCUAAACAACAUUUAUCAAUCACUCAUUGGCUGAAAACACUGGCAGGUGGGAGUAGCUAACUUGACUCAUUUCACAGAAAUCACUUAGACAGAACCUGCACACUUUGCUUCAUAACUUUCUUUCAGGAAUGCUAGAGACAUACCUUGAAUUUUCAUUCUUUUUUUUUUAAAGAGUCUGGGCCCACUGCCUGGGGUUUUCACUGUAGGCAUCUGUGGGCGCCAUGGGUUGGCAACCCUCUCAUUUCUUGAGGGGGCAUUGAGAGGGCAAGAAUGGCCAUUUUUUAUUCUUCCUAGUAUCCUCACAACAACUCUGUAACAUAGGCUGUGGUGAUUUGCCUCAGGACAACCAUUAAGUGUCAUAACCAAGUGGGGCAUUUAAACCUUCAUUUCCCAUACCUAAACACACUACUGAACUAAUUGUACUCCCUACAAAGUAGGACAAUUCACCCACCAUUUUCUCUCCCUCCCACCACAGCAACCCGCACAAUCAAGAGGAAGUGGUACAUGUGCCCCACAAAACAACCACCAGCAGAGUGAACAGCUCCAGAUGAUUAAGCCAGUGAGUUACGUGGCAGGCCAUUUUCUUGCUGCCAUUUUCUGUUUUGUUGCAUUAGGAACCCAGCACCCCAGCUUAGCCUUAUAGACCUAAAUCCACAGUGGUUAUUCUGGCAUAUUCAUGUAUGAAUCAUGCCCAUAAGUGUGUCUGUGACGUGUUCUAUAUGCUUAAACAGAAGCUAGCUUGGUAUGGUGCCCUUUGUGCUGCCUCUGCUCUGCUUUAUGUGUUCUGGGAAAAGCGAAGCAGUGUGACCAGUUUGGACUGAGGCGUAUUAACAAAAACAGCAUGAUUGCUUGGAGUAUUCUCAAGGCUGCCUGUGCUGUUUUUGGCUGCAGCCCAUGUUAUGUCACUCUGUUACUGUCAUAACCUCUGAAGGUCAGCAAAUUCACCUAGCAUGAUUCCUGCAUUCUUUCUCCCUCCCAUCUUCAUUCUAGGCUCUUGUUCAAGCUGCUUAGGUCUUUUUUCUUUGUGCUCCUCACUUAGUAGGUCACGUUUCUGCCUCAUCUAGCUGUGCAUUUCAGAGUAGCUGAGGUCAGGUUAGAAGUGAAAUUGCGAAGUUUGUUUUUCAGGUUUUUGGUGUGUUUCUUUUAGAGAGACCGGCCGAUCUGGAUACACAGGCUCUGUGUCCUACUUGGAAGCAUUAGUAAUUUGCAGUUGCGAAUAUUAUGGAAGCAGCUGUAGCUAACAAUUGCUAGAUGUUGCCAUUGUCCUUCAGCUGGAAUAGUCAGGGCAGCAUGGUAAAGUCCAGGCUAGAGAGUUGUGGGUCUUGGAGCCAUUUCUAAUGGAAAGUGCCCUGAAUAUUGCUAUUUUUGAAUAGUACUAGGCCUGAAAGCAAGUAAUAAUUUUCUAGUGUUUGCACUGCUCUACCCUCUCACGCCCUACCACAGACAAACAUGCUACUCAGAGAGAGAAGCAAUUAGAUGUGCACAUACAUAACUUGUAGAAGCAAGUUCACCUAUUCUUACACCUCAAGCACUCGGCCUUUCCCUUCUGCCUGAUGGAGGCAGCCGGCUUUUUGCAGACAGUGCCAGCGAUGACAGUGCACUGUGUUGUUAGAUUCUGGACUUGAGAACCAGCUGCUUGCUGGCCCCAGAUUUUGGAAAAGGGGGGGGGGAUCACCAACAACUGGUGGCCAGGAGUGCUUUUUUACCCAGUUUGGGCUGGUGAGUCAGCUGUGCCUGUAUUUUUAGCGAAGGCGGAUCUGACUGUGGUCAUGUCAAGGCUGUGUUACUGCAACACCCUGUAUGUGGGGCUGUCUUUGAAGACCAUUAGAAACUUAAGCAGGUUCACAAUACAGUUCUAGGAUUUUUGAGCAGAGCCAUCAUUGUGGGCUUCCCAUAGACAUCUGGCUGCCCACUGUGGGCUAUGGGAUGCUGGACUAAAUUGGCCUUUAGAGUGAUCUAGUAGGGCUCUUUAUAUUAUAUCCUUUAAAAAGCAUAAAGCUUCUAUUUCUGCUUUUGGUGUUCCUGGUGGAACAGCCCAUUGGGUAUGUUACCUUGGGACGGGAGUCUAGGACCAUGAAUUCAUAGAUUCUAUGCUUGAACAAGAUUUGCACAUGACCUUUUUUCCUGUUAACUGUGACACUCUCCAAGAGGUAGGACUAAAAUAGAAACAGGGUGGUCUGGAGAGAUGUGACUGAGUGACUCUGUAACUUCGCCUGUGGGCAAUCCAGAGUUUUGCCUGGGUCUUCAUGACUCUCUAAAACAAUAUACUUGGUUGUGGGGGGAGGGGAGCUGAUGGUUUGAAUCUACGUUUUCCAAUUUUAAUAAAAAGCUGCAGGAAAAGAUUGCUGUUUUGUAUUGGCCUUCAGUUAACCGAUUUUCACACACGACCUGCUUGCUUUUUUAGGCGUUAUUAUUUCUGGACACUUUGUGUCAUGGUGUCAUGGUUAAUUGGGUGGGAUCUCUCAAUGGAAUAGUACACACUUUGCAUGCAGGUUCAAUCCCUAGUAUUUCCAGUUUAAAAUGUCCAGGUAACAAGUGAUGAGAGACACUCCCUAAUGCCCGGGGAAACUGCUGUCAGCCACAGCUGGAAGGGACCACAAGGGUUAUCUAGUCCAGCCCCCCUGUAGUGUAGGAAUAUUUUGCCCAACAUGGGACUUGAACCCACAACCCUGAGAUUCAGAGUCUCACGCUCUACCCACUGAGCUAGGUGGACAAAUUGUGUGACCUAGUAUAAGACAGCUUCCUUUUUUUCUUUCUUAUUUAGAACAUGUGGAUGUGGCACAAGGAAGGGAACUGUAGUCAUCCACGUUUUUCUAUCAGAUUUUUCUUUUAGAGAUUUUUUUUGUUGGAUUUUGUAUCUGCACAGUCAGUUGAGCGUAACACUUUUCUGCGAUUGCAUCAAGCUGAUGCAAGACCAGUUUCCAGUCGUAUUUUCUGUAGGGAAGGGUAGCAUUUUAUUUUGCUCUUCAUCAGUGUUUUGCAAAUAUUCCACUUGUGCUUAAUAAUACCUGUAUCUCGGAAUGAAUUGUCCUAAUCGUUAAUGAACCAAGCCAAAGAAAUGGACCUGAUCCCAUUAAAUUGGAUGGUUCUGUAUAGCAUCUGGUUCAUGUUGACUGCAGAAAUUGGAUAGCCAAUUUGUUUGUUUUUUGUAACAGAGAAAAAUACAUUGACAUGCCACUAGUAUAGGUAGGUGCCUCCCUUCCCUUUGGUUUGCUGCUGCUAGACCACAUGGUGAUGGAAUGUCAUUGUGAGCUUGCUGAUAGAUGCAGGAGAAGAUUAAUGUUCCUUCUGUCAACUAGGUAAAAGAAGAAUCUGGUCCCUUAACACUAAAUAUUGUGAAUCAUCUGGGCUGUUUACAGAGAUGUCUGGAAUUUGGCAGUAAAUUUUAGCUGUGUGCUACCUUGUGAAUGCAGAAGCUUUAAGAGCAGUGUUCCAGGUUAUAUUUGUGCCUAGUGGGCUAGCGUGAAUUUCAGCUUGCACAUUUAAAAGUACAAAGCAAACAAAAUCUUACAUUUAAAUUACUUAAAUAAAAAGAGAAAUAGGCUCAUGUAACUAAAAAAAAAAGGGCUAUUUAUACUAUAUUCAUGUAUGGUGGGAGCCAAUUUAAAUGUUGAAUGACAAUACACAAAGAGGAAUGAAAGCACUGUCCUAUCAUAAAUUGCUCCCCAAGUUUGUGGGGUUUCCUAUAUCCAAGCAGCAUACUGUAUAAAUUUUAUGAAAUAAAUAAGCAUGAGCCUGUGUAGAAGUUAGUGUUUUGGACUUGGGCAGAGGAGACACUUGGCCAUGAAAUUCAUUGAGUGACCAUGGCAGGUCACUCCCUCUCAGCCCAACAUAUUUCAUGGGGUUGUUGAGACACGACAUUGUCUUGUACACUACCCUGAGCUCAUUGUAAGGAAGAUAUGAGCAUAAUGUAAUGUGAAUAUGCAGUCCAUCAUUUUAUUUUUAUUUGAGCACAGUUUUCAACUACUUCAGUCUUCCAGGGCAAUCUUAUGCAUGCCUACUUGGAAGUAAAUCCCACUGAGUUCAGUGGGUUUUACUACCAUGAAAAUGUGCCUUGGAUUUGUAGCCUUAGAUGAUUUUCCAUUGGCUUCAGCAGGUUUACAGCUAAACUUAACCUGUAUUGCUUCAUUCCGCCACAAAUUUGACUGCCGUUUUGUCCAUCAACCCCAGAGACUGCCUGAAAGGAAGCUGGAGGCACAACAAAGGCAAAUUCAUUUCUAGAGAGCAAACCUCUGUCCCCCAAUCACAAAAUUGUUGUCUGAAUCAAACCCAAAUAACCAGUUGCUGCGCUUCCAUUUCCUGUUCUGCUGUUGCCUCUGCCCUGGCUCCUGAUGGUACACAUUGAAAUGCAAAUGACAGCAGUAAUUGGCUGAGAGAUAAACCACAAUGAGUGACUGAGCCAUGCAGCAGGGAGUUAAGUGGCUAAGUGACAAUUAUUGCGCUGCAUCCUCCAGGAUCAUGAGCAGCAGCACCGUUUGUUCUGGGAUUUAAAGGAACUGUAACACUUUAAUUGGAGGGCUUUUUUAAAAUUAUUUGGUUAACGGGGCUCACAUAGUUUCUCCUCUGGUUCAGCUUUAGCAUGAAGUAGGGUUGUGAAAAGGGCUUUUGCUUUCCCUUGUUUUAUUCUUAAGUCUUAUACUUGUUUAUCGUAUUUUUCUUUUUUUAUUAGGUAUUUUCAUGUUUUUAAAACACAUUGCAGUGCUUCUGGGUGGGCAGAAGGGAAGUAGAUGGAGAAAGUUGGUAAUUAACACAGAAACUAAAGGUGACGUCCAAUUAAGUCAUAUUUGGAGUAGGCCCACUGAAAGCAGUGGAUUUUCUUGGUUUCGGUGGAUAUACUCAGAGUAUGAGUAACAUUAGACAUCUCCCUAAGGCUGUAUGUUUUGAAUGACUGUUCAGCUGAAGGAACACUGGCAGUAGCAAGUUAAAAUAGAAUCUUGCCGUGGCGUUUUAAAUGAACAGUUUUGGGCGAUGCAGAUUGCAGGCGUGGCCCCAUUUUCCCCACCCCUGGCCAUUCCAUUUGUGUUGGGGCCUGCAGCAGGAUGUUUGUGUUUGCUUUAAAAGUACUUAUGCCCCACUCUUUAACCAAAAAGAGUCCUGGGAGCUUUUUAAAAAAACCAGUAAGAGCAUCCAUGCCUACCAUAGGCAUGUGCCCCACUGGAAUUUUACUUACAAGGGAACAAGACCCUUGAACUAAACCCCUGCUCUGAGUACUUGUUUCUAAAGUUAUUUUAAUAAAACCAUACUCUGCUUCUCUGCAGUUUCCUGGGGGCCUGAAGAUUACACACAUUCCCUUCCCAACAUUCCCUGAACUCUUGCCCACAUUGGGGUUUGUCUGCCUCAAUGGCAAACUCUCUUAUCAUCUCCACAAUAUGCACAGAGCCCAGUCCAUGUUCUUCUAGCCCAGGGGUAAGCAAACUAAGGCCCGGGGGCCGGAUCUGGCCCAAUUGCCUUCUCAAUCCGGCCCGUGGACGGUCUGGGAAUCAGCGUGUUUUUACAUGAGUAUAAUGUGUGCUUUUAUUUAAAAUGCAUCUCUGGGUUAUUUGUGGGGCAUAGGAAUUUGUUCUUUUUU